GACGAACGCUGGCGGCGUGCUUAACACAUGCAAGUCGAACGGAGAUUUUAGCAAUAGAAUCUUAGUGGCGAACGGGUGAGUAACGCGUAGGCAAUCUGCCUUCUAGAUGGGGACAACAUCCCGAAAGGGGUGCUAAUACCGAAUGUUGUAACGACUUCGCAUGAAGUUGUUACUAAAGGUGGCCUCUGAAUAUGCUACCGCUAGAAGAUGAGCCUGGGUCUGAUUAGCUAGUUGGAGGGGUAACGGCCCACCAAGGCUUCGAUCAGUAGCCGGCCUGAGAGGAUGAACGGCCACACUGGGACUGGAACACGGCCCAGACUCCUACGGGAGGCAGCAGUGGGGAAUCUUCCGCAAUGGACGAAAGUCCGACGGGGCAACGCCGCGUGGAGGAUGAAGAUCUUCGGGUCGUAAACUCCUUUCGAUCGAGACGAACGACUUCCGGGUGAACAAUCCGGGAGAGUGACGGUACCGAGAGAAGAAGCCCCGGCUAACUCCGUGCCAGCCGCCGCCGUAA
rnacentral:rRNA from 1 species